rnacentral:rRNA from 1 species
GAUGAACGCUAGCGGCAGGCUUAAUACAUGCAAGUCGAGGGGCAGCAGGACUGUAGCAAUACAGUUGCUGGCGACCGGCAAACGGGUGCGGAACACGUACGCAACCUUCCUUUAAGUGAGGGAUAGCCCAGGGAAACUUGGAUUAAUACUUCGUAAUAUUUGAGAGUGGCAUCACUUUCUAAUUAUAGCUCCGGCGCUUAAAGAUUGGCGUGCGACUGAUUAGGUAGUUGGCGGGGUAACGGCCCACCAAGCCUGCGAUCAGUAACUGGUGUGAGAGCACGACCAGUCACACAGGCACUGAGAAACGGGGCCGCGUCCUACGGGAGGCAGCAGUGAGGAAUAUUGGUCAAUGGAAGCAAGUCUGAACCAGCCAUGCCGCGUGGAGGAUGAAGGUCCUCUGGAUUGUAAACUUCUUUUAUCUGGGAAGAAACCCAUAUUUUCUAGUGUGGUUGACGGUACCAGAUGAAUAAGCACCGGCUAACUCCGUGCCAGCCGCCGCAGUAACAC